AACCUUUCAUCUUCUUGAGAUGAAGUCCAGACAUCUUCUGUUUUGCUACUCUCAGUUUUCCCAGCAGAUAGCAUGUAGAAGAUCAUUCUAUGUCAUUGUGCAAGAGGAACACCAAGAAUACCAAAAGAAGACAAUGGACAAAGGCUUGUUUUUUAAGGAAUAGACACUUAUGAUUUUCUAAGUUACAUCAAUGAACAGUUGGUAGCCUGCUGGCAGAAGCAGAUAAUUCAACUUUAAGAGGGCUCACAAACUUCUUUUGCGAAAUUCACUGGAAAGGGUUUUUCAUGAAGAGAUCAGGUAGACAGAUUUUCUGAAGAGUAACUAGUUUCAGGUGAACCUAUAGAUUGGAUCCCCGUGUCCCAUGAAAAGCUUUUGUUUCACAUAGGUAACAUCCGUCCUCCCUCUUCCUCGCUAUCCCUCGCCCAUGAAAAGCUUUUGGUUCGCAUAUGCCAAACUGCCCACAGAUGGAGGAAAAAUAAAUUCAACAUAUGGUAUGGAUUUUCAGUCCUGAAGCAAGGAAUCUGACAC
rnacentral:lncRNA from 1 species